rnacentral:lncRNA from 1 species
AAAGGUAUCAAUUAACGUUAAUAAAAAAUGGCAAUCCGUCUUGCCCCAAACGGUUAAAUAUAUUUGAAAAUAACAAUAAUUUAGAAGUUAAACUAAAACAUACGCCUAACGACGAACAAAGAAUGUGCGAACCUACACAUACGCUUAAUUAUGAUCAAAGCGUGUUCGAACCUACACAUACACUUAAUCGUGACGAAAGAGUGUUCGAACCUACACAUACACUUAAUCGUGACGAAAGAGUGUUCGAACCUACACAUACACUUAAUCGUGACGAAAGAGUGUUCGAACCUACACAUACACAUAAUCGUGAUGAAAGAGUGUGUGGAUUUACACAUACCGUUAACCAUGAUGAAAGAGUGUGCGGAUUUACAUAUAUACCAUUUCAAGGACAAAAAUUGUGCGAACAAGAAUGUACUAAAGAUAAAAUAGAUGCAACUUCCGUGAAAAAAAAUGCAAACGAGCUAAGUAACACUCAAAAAUUGGACAUAACGAAACCAAAUUUAUUAAUAAAACUAAGAAAUGAGAAUAAUAACAAAAAGAUAAACGAAAGAGAUGAUUAUCAAUUAAUUGAUCCGAAAUUAUUUAAUGUAAAUAAAACAAAUAAUGUCCUAAAUGACAUGUUGAUAAAAUCUGAAAAUUUUCUCACGAACAAAAAUGUAAUAAACGAGGAAUAUAUUGNNNNNNNNNNUUUUUGCACAUUUUUACAGCAAAGGUAUCAAUUAACGUUAAUAAAAAAUGGCAAUCCGUCUUGCCCCAAACGGUUAAAUAUAUUUGAAAAUAACAAUAAUUUAGAAGUUAAACUAAAACAUACGCCUAACGACGAACAAAGAAUGUGCGAACCUACACAUACGCUUAAUUAUGAUCAAAGCGUGUUCGAACCUACACAUACACUUAAUCGUGACGAAAGAGUGUUCGAACCUACACAUACACUUAAUCGUGACGAAAGAGUGUUCGAACCUACACAUACACUUAAUCGUGACGAAAGAGUGUUCGAACCUACACAUACACAUAAUCGUGAUGAAAGAGUGUGUGGAUUUACACAUACCGUUAACCAUGAUGAAAGAGUGUGCGGAUUUACAUAUAUACCAUUUCAAGGACAAAAAUUGUGCGAACAAGAAUGUACUAAAGAUAAAAUAGAUGCAACUUCCGUGAAAAAAAAUGCAAACGAGCUAAGUAACACUCAAAAAUUGGACAUAACGAAACCAAAUUUAUUAAUAAAACUAAGAAAUGAGAAUAAUAACAAAAAGAUAAACGAAAGAGAUGAUUAUCAAUUAAUUGAUCCGAAAUUAUUUAAUGUAAAUAAAACAAAUAAUGUCCUAAAUGACAUGUUGAUAAAAUCUGAAAAUUUUCUCACGAACAAAAAUGU